UGCCAUGCAGAAAGUCAUGUAUAAGGGAC
rnacentral:piRNA from 2 species